AUUGAACGCUGGCGGCAGGCUUAACACAUGCAAGUCGAGCGAGCGGCGGACGGGUGAGUAAUGUCUGGGAAACUGCCUGCUGGAGGGGGAUAACUACUGGAAACGGUAUCUAAUACCGCAUACCAUAAGAUGUUCCCAGAUGUGAUUAGCUAGUAGGUGGGGUAGUGGCUCACCUAGGCGACGCUCCCUAGCUGGUCUGAGAGGAUGACCAGCCACACUGGAACUGAGACACGGUCCAGACUUCUACGGGAGGCAGCAGUGGGGAAUAUGGCACAAUGGGCGCAAGCCUGAUGCAGCCAUGCCGCGUGUGUGAAGAAGGCCUUCGGGUUGUAAAGCACUGUCAGCGAGGAGGCGUUACUCGCAGAAGAAGCACCGGCUAACUCCGUGCCAGCAGCCGCGGUAAUUC
rnacentral:rRNA from 1 species